rnacentral:lncRNA from 1 species
GAUAACAAGAGUAAAUACCAAUAUUUUGGAAAAUUAUAUGAAUAUCAUGUCAGCUAAAGUUCCUAUAUAGAGCUUUUUAUGGACAUUGGAGAAGCACCAGGAAACACAGUUUAGUCUCUUCUAUCUUCUCAUGAGAUUGCAGUUACGGAUAGCUAUUCUCUUACUCAUAACAAGUGAAAUAGAUCCCUGGUUCCAAAAACAUUAAUAAACAAAUCCAACCGUAAUAUACUCAGUAAUUAUAACAGUUUCACUUAGAGCAAGUUUAAUAACGCAGCUAGCAAGCGGGCUGCAAGGUUUCUCUCAGCCUUUUCCUAGUUCACUCCUACAAUGGUUAGCUCUUCACCACUAAUACAUGGUCCACAAGUCAUUCUCACAAAGUUUCUUGGUUCCUGUGACCAAGUCGGCUGUAAGCUUAUAGCCCGCUUCUCCUCUCUCAUCUCUUCUCUCUCC